rnacentral:rRNA from 1 species
UACGAAGGGGGCUAGCGUUGCUCGGAAUCACUGGGCGUAAAGCGCACGUAGGCGGCUUCUCAGAUCAGGGGUGAAAUCCUGGAGCUCAACUCCAGAACUGCCUUUGAUACUGGAGAGCUUGAGUCCGGAAGAGGUGAGUGGAACUCCGAGUGUAGAGGUGAAAUUCGUAGAUAUUCGCAAGAGCACCAGUGGCGAAGGCGGCUCACUGGCCCGAUACUGACGCUGAGGCACGAAAGCGUGGGGAGCAAACAGG